rnacentral:rRNA from 1 species
CGUGUAGGCGGGCCGAUGCGUCCGUGGCUGAAAUCCCCCGGCUCAACCGGGGAACUGGCCCGGAUACGAUCGGCCUGGAGGGGCGUAGGGGGAGCUGGAACUUCCGGUGGAGCGGUGAAAUGCGUUGAGAUCGGAAGGAACGCCCGUGGCGAAAGCGAGCUCCUGGACGCCUUCUGACGCUGAGACGCGAAAGCCAGGGGAGCGAACG